rnacentral:rRNA from 1 species
UACGUAGGGGGCAAGCGUUGUCCGGAUUUAUUGGGCGUAAAGAGCGUGUAGGCGGCCUGGUAGGUCAGCUGUGAAAACUCGAGGCUCAACCUCGAGACGCCGGUUGAAACCAUCAGGCUAGAGUCCGGAAGAGGCGAGUGGAAUUCCUGGUGUAGCGGUGAAAUGCGCAGAUAUCAGGAGGAACACCAAUGGCGAAGGCAGCUCGCUGGGACGUGACUGACGCUGAGACGCGAAAGCGUGGGGAGCAAACAGG